CAAAACCAUGGUACACUUUCUCUGCUGUACCAAGCUUUAAAUUUAUUCUCAGGUAGUAGCUGAGAGACAGCUUUAGAUUUUAGCACUGUACACACACAUACACACACCUUAGGGUUAACCUGUUCCCCUUAUUUUUAAGCUUGACUUGUUUUUUCUUUUUUCACCUCCCUUUACUGGAGGGCCAUAAUCUGA